GACGAACGCUGGCGGCGUGCUUAACACAUGCAAGUCGAACGCUGAAGCCCUGGCUUUUGUUGGGUUGGAUGAGUGGCGAACGGGUGAGUAACACGUGAGUAACCUGCCCUCUUCUUUGGGAUAACGCCCGGAAACGGGUGCUAAUACUGGAUAUUCACUGAUCUUCGCAUGGGGGUUGGUGGAAAGGUUUGUUCUGGUGGGGGAUGGGCUCGCGGCCUAUCAGCUUGUUGGUGGGGUGAUGGCCUACCAAGGCUUUGACGGGUAGCCGGCCUGAGAGGGUGACAGGUCACAUUGGGACUGGGAUACGGCCCAGACUCCUACGGGAGGCAGCAGUGGGGAAUAUUGCACAAUGGGCGAAAGCCUGAUGCAGCGACGCCGCGUGAGGGAUGGAGGCCUUCGGGGUGUAAACCUCUUUCGCGCAUGGUCAAGCCGCAACUGUGGGUUGUGGUGAGGGUAGUGGGUAAAGAAGCGCCGGCUAACUACGUG
rnacentral:rRNA from 1 species